UUUAGCUCAGUCGGUAGAGCGCUUGACUCUUAAUCAAGUGGUCGAGGGUUCGAGCCCCUCAGU
rnacentral:tRNA from 1 species